CUUAUUUCCAUCUCACAUUUGAUUUCCUCUCAACCCGAACGGAUCCUCACUUCGGUCAUUCUCCUCAGUCUCUCGUCUCUCAAGUCCUCAUCCAAAACCCUAGCCGUGCCUAGCCAUGCCGAUUGCAAAUCUCUGUCUUUGUCUUGAAACCGAAUCCCAAUAUAUAAGCAUUGAUUUCCAGGAACCAUACCUCGAAGCACAUCUUGACGUUGAGAAUGGAAGUAUAAAGAGUUAUCCAAGCAAUGGGAUCAACUUUGCUAGUGCUGGCAGUGGUGUUUUCCACAAACAAACCAGGACAAGGAAAUUAAGAAGAUAGACUAUCUGCUUUUAUUUGGAGUUGAUCAUACUGCCAAAAAAAAAAACCUUCCCUUUUAAAUUUUUAAUCAUCCGAGAAUUGAUGAUAUUUAUUUAGGCAUGCAUGGGAACUGAUCUUAAUUGGCUGUCAUGGAAUUUUCUACUUGCUUUUCUGUGAUGAGAAAUGCUUCAUGUCCCGAUAAUGAAAGGAGGCCAUCCAUUUAUCAGAUCAAGGUGAAAGAAAUCAAAUUUUUUUUCAAAUUCAAGAUUCAAGCUGUGAAGAGUUUUGAUAUUGUGUUGAUUUAAUUAGAUGUGAUGUAUUAUUAUUUAUUUUGUUCUUUGUAAAUUUAUGUUUUGUAUUGUGAUGUAACAACACUAUUAUCUAGCUUGCAUUUUUAUUUAUUUUGUUCUUAAAUUAA